rnacentral:sRNA from 1 species
CUGUGACGCCUUUCUUGGGCGUUUCCUCCCUAGACUCCAGGCCGCCUUCGGGCGGCCUUUCUUUUUUGCGGAU